rnacentral:rRNA from 1 species
UGGGGAUUUGGCAUGGGCGAAGCCUGAUCCAGCCUGCCGCGUGUGUGAAGAAGGUCUUCGGAUUGUAAAGCACUUUAAGUUGGGAGGAAGGGCAUUAACCUAAUACGUUGGUGUCUUGACGUUACCGACAGAAUAAGCACCGGCUAACUCUGUGCCAGCAGCCGNCGGUAAUA